GCUAGGGGAAAGACUGAAUCUUGGGCUCCUUCUCCUGUUCCUGUUCCCUUUCAACUGUCUUGAAGUGUUCUUCUCAGAAAUGAAAGCUGUUGCUCUUCCACUGGGUAUGUGAGCAACAUCUAAAAGUUAUGAGCAAUUGGAUGACCCUUCUUUUUACCCAAGUCUACAGGAUAUCCUCUGGGCAAUGGAACACCCAGGGUAAAAGACUUAUUGUCCUCUUUCAAGGUCAGGAAAAGCCAGUCUCUCUUGGUCAGGAACUCCAGAGAAGAGGUUUUUCCCUUGGUCAGUAACCCCCAGAGAAGAAAUCUCAAUUCAUCUCCCCUGGCCAGCUCCAACUGACUCUUCUGGGAACAUUCCAUUUGGAAUCUUCACUUUGAUUGACAGAUCAGGUCCCCAGCUUUGUUUCUUGCAUGCUUGGCUUGGCUUGGUGAAAUACAAAGUAGGAGAUACAAAUCAAGGAGUAUCUACGAUGUCUCUUCAGACAAAGAUCAAAGAACUGGACAAGGUAUUAUUUCUGCACCUUAUACCAGGUGCUUUCCAUCUCAUUCUAUUCAUCCUUUUUCCUACUUUGCCCUUUGAAAGGGCACAGCUGGAGGGAGUCAGGUAAUAGCUGACAGUCUUGAUGAGCACACAGGUGCACUCCACAAUGUCUGCUUUAAGUGGCACUGCCUGAUAUUCUGGACAUUUUUGUUUACAAUAAUGGUAUAUUAAAGGUAAAACAUGUAAUACUGAUAUGAGAAGCAAAGUCUAUUUUUAAUAAGAUGGUUCUAAAAAUAUUACAUGCCAUAGCGCAAUUGUUAGAUAUGAUAUAGGCUUGUGUAGUGUCAGUUUGGAUGAAGUAAAAGAAUUAGAAUCAGGAGAAUCUGAGUUCAAAUCCCA
ensembl:lncRNA